CCACACAUAGACCAACACCCACACGCCCAGACACCCCCACAUGCCACACACCCACAUACAACCACACACACCGACACCCACACACAUCCAACAAAUCCACAGACACCCAGACACCCACAGAUACCCAAACACCCACAGACACCCAGAAACACCCACACACCCAAACACGCCCACAGACACCCAGACACACCCACACCCAGACACACCUUCACACGCCCAGACACCCUGACACACCCACACCCAGACACCUGCAGACACCCACAAACACCCAGAUACCCAAACACACCCAAACACAUCCACACACCAUCCCAACAUACCCACAGCCACACACGCCCACACCCAGAUACACACCCAGACACCCACAAACACCCAGAUACCCAAACACACCCAGAGACACCCACAGAUGCCCACACACCCAGACACCCACAGAUACCCACACACGCCCACAGACACCCACAAACACCAUACACACACGCCAACACACCCACAGCCACACCCCUAGAGCCUGCCAGGGGUCCGCAGCAAGAGACAGGGCCUGGGGGACGAGGAGCACCGUCCCUGGCAGAUGCCUGGCACAGAGAGGCUGAAGAGUCCCGGUGGGAAGGCCUGGGCCGCCCACACACACAGGCAGGAAGCUCUGAGACCCACCAGGCCAGGCACGCAGGGCUCUGGGGAGCAAGAUUUUCAUGGUGGGGAUGUGGACACCCCCAGGGGAGCCUGGUGACUGACCGGCUCCAACCAGCUCCAUGCUCACCUCCUAGGCCCACAGCCGCCCACAGCCGCCAACGGGGCAGGCACAACAACUGGCCCUGAAAGGUAAAAACCCUCCUGGCACAGGCCCAGCCUCGGCCCCCACUCCAUGGGCCACGCAGUCCACGGCUGAUCACACGGGCCAAAGUCCAUAACACUGUUAGGGCUGCACAGGGGCCGCCGCGGUGGCCGAGGGUCUGUCAGCCCACAUGCGUGGGGCACCCGGACAGGCCCUGAGCAGGUGGGCAGGGCCCUGUGGUAGGGUCCCAGGUUGGUGGCCAGAGUGGUGAGGACGGGGCCAAGGCUGUGGGCAACAGCAACGUGGGCGCUGGCCUGGGGUGGAUGGCGAGGGGAACCCAGGCCGUCCCAUAUCGGGGCCAAGCCGGGGACCCGCAGGCCCAGCUGUUUCCCGCAGGCUUCCUGAGCGCCCGGUGCAGGGCUGCUUCUUGUGUCAGGCACCAGCCUGGAUGCUGCGGAAACAGCUUCCUUCACACCCACUCUUGCUUCUGGCCACCAGCGCUCCCGACCUGGCAGGAGUCACAGCCCAAUUCCCGUGUCCCCGAGGGAGCCACUGUGGCCACGAGGUGGGAAGCUCAGGAGUG
rnacentral:lncRNA from 1 species